CUCAAAUUUAAANUCUGGCGGUCUUGGCCGUCCGAGUUGUAGUCUGGAGAAGUGCUUUCCGCGCUGGACCGUGUACAAGUCUCUUGGAACAGAGCGUCAUAGAGGGUGAGAAUCCCGUCUUUGACACGGACUACCAGUGCUUUGUGAUGCGCUCUCAAAGAGUCGAGUUGUUUGGGAAUGCAGCUCAAAAUGGGUGGUAAAUUCCAUCUAAAGCUAAAUAUUGGCGAGAGACCGAUAGCGAACAAGUACCGUGAGGGAAAGAUGAAAAGCACUUUGGAAAGAGAGUUAAACAGUACGUGAAAUUGCUGAAAGGGAAACGCUUGAAGUCAGUCGCGUCGUGCAGGACUCAGCCUUGCUUUUGCUUGGUGCACUUUCUGUACGACGGGCCAGCAUCAAUUUUGACCGUCGGAAAAGGGCUGAGGGAAUGUGGCACCUUCGGGUGUGUUAUAGCCUUCAGUCGCAUACGGCGGUUGGGAUUGAGGAUCGCAGCGCGCCGCAAGGCAGGGGUUCGCCCACUUUCGCGCUUAGGAUGCUGGCAUAAUGGCUUUAAACGACCCGUCUUGAAACACGGACCAAGGAGUCUAACUUACCUGCGAGUGUUUGGGUGGAAAACCCGAGCGCGUAAUGAAAGUGAAAGUUGGGACCUCUGUCGUGGAGGGCACCGACGCCCGGACCUGACGUUCUCUGACGGAUCCGCGGUAGAGCAUGUAGGUUGGGACCCGAAAGAUGGUGAACUAUGCCUGAAUAGGGUGAAGCCAGAGGAAACUCUGGNGGANGNUCGUAGCGAUUCUGACGUGCAAAUCGAUCGUCAAAUUUGGGUAUAGGGGCGAAAG
rnacentral:rRNA from 1 species